rnacentral:lncRNA from 1 species
UGGCACCCCUGACAUAACUAAAGAAAGUGAUAACCUUCUACUAUCCAGCAGAGCAACCAACGCACAUUUGCACAUGAAGGUGGAAAAGGAGAGAGGAGAGCUGAAGAAUGACUGAAGUUCAAACAGCCUGCACAAGCAAUGGAGAGACACAAAGAGGAAACAGUGCAUCAGGAAAGCAGUCAGUCCAGACAGCCUGAGAGAAAAGUUCAAACAAGAACAGACCCUAAACAAAGCUCUUGUUAUCGUGCAAAUAAGGACAUCCAUGAAUAACUGAUGCAGAAGAAGAGUUUGCACUGAUGUAACAGUACAUUUGGAGCCCCAGCAAGCAAGACGUGUGCUAAACCUGCCGCCCAGGAAUGUGCACUCCUGCGAUGUUUUCACAAGUUAAAACAGAGACUGGCCUGAGUGGUUAGUCAAAAUUACCAGUAGAAUUACCUCAAUCUCCCUGAAUUUAGCUUUGGGAGGCUAAAUUCACUCCUUCUAUUGAAGGCAGUUUAGUCACACUGCAGAUGAACUUGCCACAAUGCACAGGCUGAUGUUGGGAACUUGGCUGCCCUGGUUUGUUUAAUUGCUCUGCAACAAAAAGGGAACCUUACUAGAAUUCAACAAAACUUCCUCUUCAUCCCAAGGGGUCAGCGUGGACCCAUUAGCAGCUGUUGCCCAUUGUUCUCAAUGAAGAACCUCUAAGCACCAAGUUAUUAACCCAUCAGUGAGCUAAGCGUACAGGCAGUGGCAUUUUAUCCCCUUUCUACAGGUUCCUGUCUCAGAUACUAGAUCCAGUACCCUUACUGGUUUCAUACUUUCACCUGACUUGCAUAUCUGCACUGGGGAAUUUGGGUAAGUUACUUGGGCAUCUACAAAAGUGUGUUUCAUAAUUGGGUAGCUCAAUGGAAAGGCAAGAAAUGUCUAAGUAUACGUGGAGGAGAGAAAAAUCUAUCCAUCAGCCUCAAGAUCCGUUGACGUUAGCCUUGUCUUCUUUCUGAAUUCAAGCAGGAGGCCCCAGUGGCACAAGCUUCCGAAUGUCUCAGUGGUCAUUGCUUCGUUUCAGGAAGACUUCUCCUAACAUUGGAAACAAACUGUUUAAUACCAGACAGACACCAGUGGGUCAUAGAGACUUGGGCAGUCAAGUUCUAACUAGAUCAUCCACAUGAUGGAAAUCACUACAGUGGGAUUACUAUUGCCUCCUGCUCAACUCAGUGUCCACCAGGGCCCCUGGGGCCUUCUCUGCCACGCUGCUUUCCAGCGGCUUUCAAGAUUCAUAUAAUUGUAU